GACGAACGCUGGCGGCGUGCUUAACACAUGCAAGUCGAACGGAAAGGCCCUGCUUGCAGGGUACUCGAGUGGCGAACGGGUGAGUAACACGUGGGUGAUCUGCCCUGCACUUCGGGAUAAGCCUGGGAAACUGGGUCUAAUACCGGAUAGGAGCCAUUUUUAGUGUGAUGGUUGGAAAGUUUUUUCGGUGUAGGAUGAGCUCGCGGCCUAUCAGCUUGUUGGUGGGGUAAUGGCCUACCAAGGCGGCGACGGGUAGCCGGCCUGAGAGGGUGGACGGCCACAUUGGGACUGAGAUACGGCCCAGACGCCUACGGGAGGCAGCAGUGGGGAAUAUUGCACAAUGGGCGCAAGCCUGAUGCAGCGACGCCGCGUGGGGGAUGACGGCCUUCGGGUUGUAAACUCCUUUCGCUAGGGACGAAGCUUUUGUGACGGUACCUAGAUAAGAAGCACCGGCUAACUACGUG
rnacentral:rRNA from 1 species